AAGCUCGUAGUUGAAUUUCCGAUUUGAUUAGGUGGUCUUUACGUAUGUAAUGUACUACUUUGAUCGAAUCUUUCCUUCUAGCGAACUAUAGUGUUAUUUAUUUAAUGCUAUAGGGAACUAGGACUUUUACUUUGAAAAAAUUAGAGUGUUUAAAGCAGGCUUACGCUUGAAUACAUUAGCAUGGAAUAAUAAAAUAGGACUUUGGUUUUAUUUUGUUGGUUUCUAAGACCGAAGUAAUGAUUAAUAGGGUCAGUUGGGAGUAUUAGUAUUUAAUCGUCAGAGGUGAAAUUCUUGGAUUGAUUAAAGACUAACUUCUGCGAAAGCAUUUACCAAGGAUGUUUUCAUUAAUCAAGAACGAAAGUUAGGGGAUCGAAGACGAUCAGAUACCGUCCUAGUCUCAACCAUAAACGAUGCCGACCAGGGAUCAGCGGGUGUUACUAAUAGGACCCCGCUGGCACCUUAUGAGAAAUCAAAGUCUUU
rnacentral:rRNA from 1 species